rnacentral:misc_RNA from 1 species
GAAAUGCGAUAAGUAAUGUGAAUUGCAGAAUUCAGUGAAUCAUCGAAUCUUUGAAGGCACAUUGCGCCCGCCAGUAUUCUGGCGGGCAUGCCUGUCCGAGCGUCAUUUCAACCAUCAAGCCCCCGGGCUUGUGUUGGGGACCUGCGGCUGCCCGCAGGCCCUGAAAACCAGUGGCGGGCUCGCUGUCACACCGAGCGUAGUAGCAAUCACCUCGCUCAGGGCGUGCUGCGGGUUCCGGCCGUUAAACAGCCUUACAAAACCCAAGGUUGACCUCGGAUCAGGUAGGAAGACCCGCUGAACUUAAGC